rnacentral:ribozyme from 1 species
UAUACAAGUAUGCGAAUAUGGAGAGAGAUCGAAAAAUGAAAGAAGAGAAACGGAGAGAAGCCAGCAGCAAUGCAUUUGAUCGUCUUCUUUCCCAUUUUACGUCGAUUUUGCAUCCCUCUUCUCUUCUUUCUUUCCUACCCUUUUAUUCUCUUCAUU